rnacentral:lncRNA from 1 species
UCUGAGUUCCAAAGUCACUGCCACCAUUCCUGCAUUCAUCCAUGUCUCCAUCAGCUGAGUUUAGAGUGCUGUUGAGGCUGUAACUACCAUGGCAUCUGACAACGGAAGGGACUAUUUCAAAGUGCAGUGCUAACGUGGGCAGAGAAGAAGAGAACAGACUGCAGCUCUUUCUGGAACAUCUUGAACAAAUGCCAUUGCUUAUGUUCUAAUCAUUCACUUCACCAAAAUACCUAACGAUGAAGAAAAGGUUGUGAAGACAUUACUAGUAGUAUCAUAUGG